rnacentral:rRNA from 2 species
UGGGGAAUUUUGGACAAUGGGCGAAAGCCUGAUCCAGCAAUGCCGCGUGUGUGAAGAAGGCCUUCGGGUUGUAAAGCACUUUUGUCCGGAAAGAAAACGCCGUGGUUAAUACCCGUGGCGGAUGACGGUACCGGAAGAAUAAGCACCGGCUAACUACGUGCCAGCAGCCGCGGUAAUACGUAGGGUGCAAGCGUUAAUCGGAAUUACUGGGCGUAAAGCGUGCGCAGGCGGUCCGCUAAGACAGAUGUGAAAUCCCCGGGCUUAACCUGGGAACUGCAUUUGUGACUGGCGGGCUAGAGUAUGGCAGAGGGGGGUAGAAUUCCACGUGUAGCAGUGAAAUGCGUAGAGAUGUGGAGGAAUACCGAUGGCGAAGGCAGCCCCCUGGGCCAAUACUGACGCUCAUGCACAAAAGCGUGGGGAGCAAACAGG